rnacentral:tRNA from 1 species
GGAUGUGGCUCAAGUAGUAAUGCACUCGCCUGGCAUGCGUGGGUUCCUGGGUUCGAUCCUCAGCACCA